UGUCUUGAAGUUUAGUUUACUGCCAUGAAAGAAAAUCUGAGAUCAUACUAAGAAAUCACAAACAUCCUUUUCCUCCUUGUAUAUAAAAAUAGAUGGGGGAGGUACAAACAUCCAUAAUACAACAGGCAAACAAACUUCAAAAGUGUGUGUGUCUUUCAGGGAGAACAAUGCAAAAAUGGAAAAGAGGUCUCUGGAUGAUUAAAAAUAGAACCAAAAAAUAAAAA